CCUGAAUCUCUGAUCAUGACUGUUUAGUUGAGUAAUAAAGCUGCUAUUUUCCUGGGAAGAAAGGCUCGAGAUACAGUUUAAGAAGCAAAAAGAGAGAAGGAAACAAAAUCAAAAUAUGACUAUGAACCGACGAUGUGGAAUUGAUAUCGAAGCCUUGGCGUCUUCAAUAGAACGUACCUUGGAUGACACUGGAACUUUUGUUCAACAAGACCAACUACCCUGGACACCAAAAGACCCUAAUUGAACUUGCCACAUCAUUUUUUGCCAACAUGUUUUCAUCCGAUUUGCCUUUUCCAAAUGACUCUAUUCAAGACGUGAAGCAUAUUCCAGACUUGCUAAGAAAAUUGUUAAUUUCAACAUAUAGAGGAGAGGAAGAAGGUGGAUUAGAAUGGAAACUUAUGCCAAAAUGGUUGGUUUCAACAAUUACAAGAGAAGAUCAUGAAAAAGACAGAUUACAUAAUUGGAAACUCGUGCCUUCUGCUACGAUGCUCCUAGAUGCUGGAAUCAAAUUCAAAAGGGGUUCGUCAGAUAAAUGCAUUUUAGACAUAAAAUUUACUGACAAUGGUAUCCUGGAAAUCCCUCCAAUAUUGAUUCACCAGACAACAGAGACCGCUUUUCGAAAUCUCAUAAGCUUUGAACAAUGCUAUCGCUGUGAAGCGAGGAUCACUUCCUAUGCCAUAUUCCUAGACAACCUCAUUAAUACUCCAGAGGACAUGGAGAAGCUGUGCGAGAGAAAGAUCGUGGAUAACUUGCUGAAUCCUGAGGAAGCGACCAAGUUCUUCAA